rnacentral:rRNA from 1 species
UACGAAGGGGGCUAGCGUUGCUCGGAAUUACUGGGCGUAAAGCGCACGUAGGCGGCUUCUUAAGUCGGUGGUGAAAUCCUGGAGCUCAACUCCAGAACUGCCUUCGAUACUGGGAAGCUCGAGUCCGGGAGAGGUGAGUGGAACUGUGAGUGUAGAGGUGAAAUUCGUAGAUAUUCGCAAGAACACCAGUGGCGAAGGCGGCUCACUGGCCCGGUACUGACGCUGAGGUGCGAAAGCGUGGGGAGCAAACAGG